AUCAAUAGCAUCAGGCGCACACACCUACCACCUGAGCGUCUCUCAACCAAAUCCCACCUGCCGCCAAGCCCUUCCCUUCCCUUCUCCGGGCCUCCUUAUCUCCACCAUCCUUUCCGCCUGGCGACUCAUGAUUUUCCAGCUUGACCUCCACCGUCAUUCAGAUUCCGACUCAGCUCAAAAACCAAAAUUUUCGAUCAGAACCCCACCGCCCUUUACCUCUACGUCUGCCUCGAAGACGCUGUGUCCGACUCCAUACCCUCCCGGUCCUCGACGGUUAGUGGGAAUUCAAGCCCUGCCGCGGAUAGGGAUGUCCUCGUCUCUGGUUCGGACAAUGCGAAUGUGUGCAGAAAUCUGCGAGGCUUUUAUAGAUGGGCGGUCCACGAUGCCAUCGCUGUGGUAUACGAAGGAGACUGAGGAGGUGGUUUGCAAUAAGAGUUGCGAUAUAUUCGAAUUGUUCAAUUCCAGGGACUAAAUGGUUUUGCACUAAAUCCAGGAUCAAACCUACCCCCAUCGGCAUUGAAGGGAAAGAUCGAGGAAUGAAGUCGAAUAAUUUUGCCCAAUCUGAGUAAUGGUUCUUGUUGGUAGUUAAUUCUACUUCGAAUCUCAUGCUACUGAUUGAGUUGAUAGGACUAUCUUGACUGGCAAGUGGGUAUUAGACCGUGUUGUUCUUGCCAGACUUAGGCCUGAGAUGAGAUGAGAUGAAAACAAAGGAAGCCUUAGAAUCCAUGAAUUACUGAAGUUUAGCCUCGGCGUGUUUAUGCCUAAGGUCGCAGCAAAUUGCAAUUUUACGUCCAUUAUUGAUUGUUACACAAAAUACUUUUUCUUCUGAACCCAGACAGCAUUCAACCUGCCAUGCCUCCAGGUUGCGAGCAUGGAGUGCUCUUCUGGCCUCACGACAGAGAGUUGCUAUCUUUGGCAGAGCGUAAAUCUGUUCAGGUUCAAGCUUCAUAGAAGCUAGAAGCUGGUCCAAAUUUCACUGUAGCAGCCUGGCCAUCCUCGUUGUAUACAGCAGCAUCCUUGAUAUAUCUCUUAUCUCAACUGGAGGUUUAAAGCUAUCUGUGCAAACAGCUACACACAUAGAAGCUGACAGCUUC